CUGAAAAAAGAACCCAAAGUUAAACAAUAGCUACCAACAGCAACCUCCUUGGUAGUGUAUACAACCUGUUGUCUGUAUGGGUUGUCCUGAAGGACGUCGAAGAUAGUA
rnacentral:snoRNA from 1 species